ensembl:lncRNA
UUUCCUAAAUCCACUAAUCGUAUUACAUCCAUCCAUCAUCCAUCCAGGAGCCCAGGAGGCAUCCUUGUCAGAUGCCCAAACCACCUCAACUGGCUCCUUUCGAUGUGGAGGAGCAGCGGCUCUACUCUGAGCCUCUCUCGAAUGGCCGAACUUCUCACCCUAUCGCUAAGGGAGAGGCCAGCCACUCUUCGGAGGAAACCCAUUUCCGCUGCUUGAAUUCGCUAUCUCGUUCUUUCGGUCACCACAGCUCAUGACCAUAGGUGAGGGUAGGGGCGUAGAUCGACCGGUAAAUUGAGAGCUUCACUUUUACACUCAGCUCUCUCUUCACCACAACAGACCGGUACAGCGUCCGCAUCGCUGCAGCCCCUGCACCAAUCCGUCUGUCGAUCUCCCGCUCCCUUCUCCUGUCACUCGUGAACAAGACCCCGAGAUACUUAAACUCCUCCACUUGGGGCAGGGUCUCGUCCCUGACCCGGAGUGGGUGCUCCACCCUUUUCGUAUUACAGUCACUAAUAAAAUAAUUAUGCUAAGUAUAACUAAUUGUUUUAUAGUUGCAUGCAGAAUGAGUGAUAUAAAAAAACAAAACAAAAAAGAAUCAUUAUGUAAGUACAAAAUUUUCCUGAAUUCGGUCUACAACUGAAGGGUAAAGCUAUGAAAAUCAUCCAUCUAUUGAUGACAAAGACAUAACCAUAAAUUUCCAACUGUCCCCAGGUCAGAACAAUCCAUACACUGCUUCACACAUGACAUCAAGUCUAUUCAAAGAAUCUGCAAAGUCAAUAUGCUAACAAAAAACUAUAACUCAAGGAUUCCUGGGACAAGAAUGGUGCUCGGAUGACUGUACGCUAACCUGAACCAGGCAGCCAAUAUUAAGCAAUUAAAUCUUCAGCAGAGAUCCACAGGUUUGCUGACUGUCUCGUGAGGUCACAAAUUAUGGUCUUAAUGUACUGUGGACAUCCAUCCUGAAGCCAUGACAGGAAACGGGCUACGUUUGUAACGUUGCAGGUAUGGACACUCUUGCACUGUUUUGGCUUUGAGAAAUUAAGCUUAGAACACUUCUUAUUUAAAUAUAUAAAAUUCCCUCAUUCAUAACAUUUCUUGGGAACACCAG